rnacentral:lncRNA from 1 species
UUUGGAUCUGAUCUAAGACAUGAUUAGAAGAUUAAAGUGUUUAAUCAUUUAUUAUUUCACUAUAAAAUUUUAAAAAUAUAUACUUUGAACUAUCUAUUUUUUCUUCGGAUGGUAUCAGAGCUAGGUUUCUUAUGAUAUAAAUUUUUUGUAUAUAAUUUGAUUUUAAUUAUUUAGAUUAGAUCUAAAUAAUUAAUUUUGAAUCUGAGUAGUAUAGUAAUCUAAUUAGAUAGAUCUUCAUAGCCGUCCGGUCAUAGAAGAAAUCAAGAUUUCACAAUCCUAUUUAGCCAUUCGAUAGGAUAUUCUAUGGCAUAUAAGGGUGCUGUGCGAUCUUUUCUAUGAUGAUGAACAAUAAAAAAGAUUUUAAAAUUUUAUUUUGGAUCUGAAGUAAUGUAUAUUAGAUAUGAAAUUAGAGUCUUGAUCAUUAGAUGAUUGAUUAUAAAAAUAUUUUAUAAAAUUAAAAAUUAUUUUCAAACAUCAAAUCUGAACCCAUUUCAAUUUAAAACUUAAUUGAGAAUUAAGUGAUAUAGAUUUGAGAAUCAAAAAUCUAAGGUAUUAAUUUCAUAAUUCAUGGGUUAAUGGGUUAGCUCAAGUCAAAUCCAUUU